rnacentral:rRNA from 1 species
GAUGAACGCUGGCGGCGUGCCUAAUACAUGCAAGUCGAGCGAACGGACGAGAAGCUUGCUUCUCUGAUGUUAGCGGCGGACGGGUGAGUAACACGUGGAUAACCUACCUAUAAGACUGGGAUAACUUCGGGAAACCGGAGCUAAUACCGGAUAAUAUUUUGAACCGCAUGGUUCAAAAGUGAAAGACGGUCUUGCUGUCACUUAUAGAUGGAUCCGCGCUGCAUUAGCUAGUUGGUAAGGUAACGGCUUACCAAGGCAACGAUGCAUAGCCGACCUGAGAGGGUGAUCGGCCGCACUGGAACUGAGACACGGUCCAGACUCCUACGGGAGGCAGCAGUAGGGAAUCUUCCGCAAUGGGCGAAAGCCUGACGGAGCAACGCCGCGUGAGUGAUGAAGGUCUUCGGAUCGUAAAACUCUGUUAUUAGGGAAGAACAUAUGUGUAAGUAACUGUGCACAUCUUGACGGUACCUAAUCAGAAAGCCACGACUAACUACGUG